UACGUAGGGUGCAAGCGUUAUUCGGAAUUACUGGGCGUAAAGCGCGCGCAGGCGGCUCUGCAAGACAGACGUGAAAUCCCCGGGCUCAACCUGGGAACUGCAUUUGUGACUGCAAGGCUAGAGUACGGCAGAGGGGGAUGGAAUUCCGCGUGUAGCAGUGAAAUGCGUAGAUAUGCGGAGGAACACCGAUGGCGAAGGCAAUCCCCUGGGCCUGUACUGACGCUCAUGCACGAAAGCGUGGGGAGCAAACAGG
rnacentral:rRNA from 1 species